AAGUCGUAACAAGGUUUCCGUAGGUGAACCUGCGGAAGGAUCAUUACCGUGUUCUGGGUCCCCUCGGGGGCCCGACACCCCACCCUUUGUAGUUACAUGACUAUCGUUGCUUUGGCGGGACGGCCCCCUCACGGGGUGCCGCCGGGCCCCAAAUCGCCCGGAGAGCUCCCGCCGGAGGACCACAAACACUAGCCUUUGAACCAGUACGUCAGAGUAAGAAUUUAAUAAUUCAAAACUUUCAACAACGGAUCUCUUGGUUCUG
rnacentral:misc_RNA from 1 species